rnacentral:lncRNA from 1 species
UAUCCAGCACUUUGAAGGCGUCACGCAACUGGCGAUCGAAGGGCUCGGGUUUCAUGUGCUUGGCCAUCAGGUCAAGGAACCGCGGGAAGUCAAAGGGUGCCGUUAGUUUUUCCUCGGAGAUUAUGGAUUUGAGCUGGGCCUGGGUCGGGUUUCCCCCGAGUGACCUCAUUAGGAUCCCUAGCUCAGACGGCGCGAUCUUUCCGUCACCGUCAGUGUCGAACAAUGUGAAGGCUUCCUUCAUUGACGAGACCUGGUCGUCGCUCAGAUCCUUUCCCAUUUCCUUUCUCUUUUUUCCUUUUUAUUUAUUUAUUUAUUUUUUCGGAUUUUCACUUCUCUCUCUCUCUCUCUGCGUGUGAGUUCCGAGGGAAUGAGAGAAAUG